AGGGCCAUAGCUCAGUGGUAGAGCAUCUGCUUUGCAUGCAGAAAAGGUCCCAUGUUCAAUCCCUGGUGGCUCCA